UACGUAGGGUGCGAGCGUUGUCCGGAAUUAUUGGGCGUAAAGGGCUCGUAGGCGGUUUGUCGCGUCGGGAGUGAAAUCCACUGGCUUAACUGGUGGCUUGCUUUCGAUACGGGCAGACUAGAGGUAUGCAGGGGAGAACGGAAUUCCUAGUGUAGCGGUGAAAUGCGCAGAUAUCAGGAGGAACACCGGUGGCGAAGGCGGUUCUCUGGGCAUGUCCUGACGCUGAGGAGCGAAAGUGUGGGGAGCGAACAGG
rnacentral:rRNA from 1 species